CCUACGGGAGGCAGCAGUCGGGAAUUUUGCGCAAUGGGGGAAACCCUGACGCAGCAAUACCGCGUGUGGGAUGAAGGCCUUCGGGUCGUAAACCACUUUUUUCGGGGACGAUAAUGACGGUACCCGAAGAAUAAGCCACGGCUAACUACGUGCCAGCAGCCGCGGUAAUACGUAGGUGGCAAGCGUUGUCCGGAUUUACUGGGCGUAAAGCGCGCGCAGGCGGUGAAUGAAGUCGAAAGUGAAAGCCCCGAGCUCAACUCGGGAACUGCUUUCGAAACCAGUUCACUUGAAGGUGGAAGAGGGAAGUGGAAUUCCGAGUGUAGCGGUGGAAUGCGUAGAUAUUCGGAGGAACACCAGAGGCGAAGGCGACUUCCUGGUCCAAUCUUGACGCUGAGGCGCGAAAGCUAGGGGAGCAAACAGGAUUAGAUAUCCUGGUAGUCCUAGCUGUAAACGAUGGAUACUAGGUGUUGGAGGUUUUAACCCCUUCGGCGCCGCAGCUAACGCAUUAAGUAUCCCGCCUGGGGAGUACGGCCGCAAGGCUAAAACUCAAAGGAAUUGACGG
rnacentral:rRNA from 1 species